rnacentral:rRNA from 1 species
CCUACGGGAGACAGCAGUGAGGAAUUUUGGGCAAUGGGGGCAACCCUGACGCAGCAACGCCGCGUGAGUGAUGAAGGCCUUCGGGUCGUAAAGCUCUGUCAGAGGGGAAGAAAUGCAGGUGGUGAACAACCAUUCUGUUUGACGGUACCCUCAAAGGAAGCACCGGCUAACUCCGUGCCAGCAGCCGCGGUAAUACGGAGGGUGCGAGCGUUGUUCGGAAUUAUUGGGCGUAAAGCGCGUGUAGGCGGUUUGUUAAGUCUGAGGUGAAAGCCCCGGGCUCAACCGGGGAAGUGCAUUGGAUACUGGCAGACGUGAGUACGGGAGAGGAGAGUGGAAUUCCCAGUGUAGGAGUGAAAUCCGUAGAUAUUGGGAGGAACACCGGUGGCGAAGGCGGCCCUCUGGACCGAUACUGACGCUGAGACGCGAAAGCGUGGGGAGCAAACGGGAUUAGAUCCCCUGGUAGU